UCUAGGAGCGUGGACGUUACUCGCAGAAUAAGCACCGGCUAACUCUGUGCCAGCAGCCGCGGUAAUACAGAGGGUGCGAGCGUUAAUCGGAUUUACUGGGCGUAAAGCGUACGUAGGCGGCUUUUUAAGUCGGAUGUGAAAUCCCUGAGCUUAACUUAGGAAUUGCAUUCGAUACUGGGAAGCUAGAGUAUGGGAGAGGAUGGUAGAAUUCCAGGUGUAGCGGUGAAAUGCGUAGAGAUCUGGAGGAAUACCGAUGGCGAAGGCAGCCAUCUGGCCUAAUACUGACGCUGAGGUACGAAAGCAUGGGGAGCAAACAGGAUUAGAUACCCUGGUAGUCCAUGCCGUAAACGAUGUCUACUAGCCGUUGGGGCCUUUGAGGCUUUAGUGGCGCAGCUAACGCGAUAAGUAGACCGCCUGGGGAGUACGGUCGCAAGACUAAAACUCAAAUGAAUUGACGGGGGCCCGCACAAGCGGUGGAGCAUGUGGUUUAAUUCGAUGCAACGCGAAGAACCUUACCUGGUCUUGACAUAGUAAGAACUUUCCAGAGAUGGAUUGGUGCCUUCGGGAACUUACAUACAGGUGCUGCAUGGCUGUCGUCAGCUCGUGUCGUGAGAUGUUGGGUUAAGUCCCGCAACGAGCGCAACCCUUUUCCUUAUUUGCCAGCGGGUUAAGCCGGGAACUUUAAGGAUACUGCCAGUGACAAACUGGAGGAAGGCGGGGACGACGUCAAGUCAUCAUGGCCCUUACGACCAGGGCUACACACGUGCUACAAUGGUCGGUACAAAGGGUUGCUACUCCGCGAGGAGAUGCUAAUCUCAAAAAGCCGAUCGUAGUCCGGAUCGCAGUCUGCAACUCGACUGCGUGAAGUCGGAAUCGCUAGUAAUCGCGGAUCAGAAUGCCGCGGUGAAUACGUUCCCGGGCCUUGUACACACCGCCCGUCACACCAUGGGAGUUUGUUGCACCAGAAGUAGGUAGUCUAACCGUAAGGAGGACGCUACCAC
rnacentral:rRNA from 1 species